ensembl:lncRNA
GGGCUGCGGCCUUCAAUACUUCGGCCUGCGGAUGCUCCAAGCAAGGUGCCCGAGGGUAGUCUCCCAUCAGAAGCUGUGUCUGUUACAGCCCCCGUGUGUGCACUCCAGCGUUUUAAAGGUUUUGGGAGGUAUGAAUUGGAACUUUCUCAGAUGUAGCAUAUGAAUAAUUUAUUUAUGGAGCCAGCAGAACCUCAUGGAGUUUAAGCGUGGACCUCUAACUCUCAGAGCAAGGAGCCUCCCAAGCCACGACUGCAGGCUUCAUACUGAAUACCAGCUGAGGGAGAAGAGCAGCAGCAGCAGAAAAGCAGGAUUUUCCUUUGGCUAAACAUCACAUUGGAGAACAGAAAGAUUUUGGAUUCUAUAUAUGUUUACACACUUCUCUCCCUAAGACUCAGCAUUGUACCAAGAAAUUUUGGGAGAAGCUGUUGCAUGAGGCUUUAAAGAACC